UACGUAGGGGGCGAGCGUUAAUCGGAAUUACUGGGCGUAAAGCGUGCGCAGGCGGCUUGGUAAGUCUGAGGUUAAAUUCCCCGGCUUAACCGGGGAACGGCCUUUGGGACUGCCAGGCUAGAGUGCGGCAGGGGGGGGUGGAAUUCCGCGUGUAGCAGUGAAAUGCGUAGAGAUGCGGAGGAACACCGCUGGCGGAGGCGAGCGACUGGGCCUGCACUGACGCUCAUGCACGAAAGCGAGGGGAGCAAACGGG
rnacentral:rRNA from 1 species